UACGGGGGGGUAAGCGUUGUUCGGAAUUACUGGGCGUAAAGGCUCGUAGGCGGCCAACUAAGUCAUACGUGAAAUCCCUCAGCUUAACUGGGAACUGCGUGUGAUACUGGAUGGCUUGGAUUUGGGAGAGGGAUGCGGAAUUCCAGGUGUAGCGGUGAAAUGCGUAGAGAUCUGGAGGAACACCGAUGGCGAAGGCAGCCCCUGGCUAACACUGACGCUCAUGCACGAAAGCGUGGGAGCAACAGG
rnacentral:rRNA from 1 species